rnacentral:rRNA from 1 species
GACGAACGCUGGCGGCGUGCUUAACACAUGCAAGUCGAGCGGUAAGGCCCUUUCGGGGGUACACGAGCGGCGAACGGGUGAGUAACACGUGGGCAAUCUGCCCCUCGCAGGGGGGACAACCGGAGGAAACCCCGGCUAAUACCCCGUAAGUUCAAGGGGAGGCAUCUCCCUUCGAAGAAAGGUAGCUUCGGCCAUCCGGCGAGGGAUGAGCCCGCGGUGCAUUAGCUAGUUGGUGGGGUAACGCCCACCAAGGCGACGANGCAUAGCUGGUCUGAGAGGAUGAUCAGCCACACUGGGACUGAGACACGGCCCAGACUCCUACGGGAGGCAGCAGUCGGGAAUCUUGCGCAAGUGGGC